UGGGGAAUUUUGGACAAUGGGCGAAAGCCUGAUCCAGCAAUGCCGCGUGUGUGAAGAAGGCCUUCGGGUUGUAAAGCACUUUUGUCCGGAAAGAAAUCCUCUGGGUUAAUACCUCGGGGGGAUGACGGUACCGGAAGAAUAAGCACCGGCUAACUACGUGCCAGCAGCCGCGGUAAUACGUAGGGUGCAAGCGUUAAUCGGAAUUACUGGGCGUAAAGCGUGCGCAGGCGGUUUUGUAAGACGGAUGUGAAAUCCCCGGGCUUAACCUGGGAACUGCAUUCGUGACUGCAAGGCUAGAGUAUGGCAGAGGGGGGUAGAAUUCCACGUGUAGCAGUGAAAUGCGUAGAGAUGUGGAGGAAUACCGAUGGCGAAGGCAGCCCCCUGGGCCAAUACUGACGCUCAUGCACGAAAGCGUGGGGAGCAAACAGGAUUAGGAUACCCUGGUAGUCCACGCCCUAAACGAUGUCAACUAGUUGUUGGGGAUUCAUUUCCUUAGUAACGUAGCUAACGCGUGAAGUUGACCGCCUGGGGAGUACGGUCGCAAGAUUAAAACUCAAAUGAAUUGACGGGGUCAUAGCUGUUUCC
rnacentral:rRNA from 1 species